AAAUAUAAAAACCAAAUAAUAUUUUAUAAUGCAACGAACGAAAAAAGAAGAAAAAUAAUAAUUCGUAAAAAAAGAAAACUAAGGAGAAAUUUUAAAGGUGACCACACAUAUUAUUGUCUACAUCGUGGCAAAGCAAGCAUUUCUUAACACAGAAAUGCGCCCUUCUUUCCCUCACUGCGCGUAAUUUUUUUUACUUAACCCUAAAAACAUGCAGGAUUCUUGCGCGCACAAACACGUACGGCGGCUACAAAUGUUGUACCUGUGAAUAGUGUUUUUUAAGCUCUUAAUUUUUAAUAAAUUGUGCUGUAAGUGAAGAAGAACGCACGUGAUAGGAUAAGAAAAAAGAAACACAGAAAAUAGGUUAGAAGGAAAAGAAUGAAUUAUUCUAAAUCAUUCUUCCCGCCGAGGUAAAAAUUGCAUACACGAUUUCAUACACAUUCACGCAUUAUAUAUGGAGAGAGGAAGAAGGGGAGAUAUUAGGUCAUUACAUAUGAAAUGUCCAAUUAUCCUUAGUAUCAAGUUUGAUACUCGAUUUCUUCGAUAUUACACUUUGACCUUUGUUUAUUUUUUAUUAGGAAGAUUAAAUUUUCAUGAAUAAAUAAAAAAUUCGCGUUGUUUACGGAUGAGUUUCGUCGUGGAACUAAUAUAAUACAGACAAUUCAAAGUAUCAACAAAAUGUUUACAAGGAUGUGGCUAAUGAACGCACAGUACGUCGAUGGUUCGACAAGUUCGGUUUAACAAUUUUGAUUUUCAAAAUGAACCACGUGAGCGACCUAAGAGCAAGGUGGAUAAUAAUGAACUGAAAGGUGUAAUGGAAGCGGAUAUAUCUCAAGGUAUAAGCAAGGUUUGACAUUUCUAUUCCAACAUUAUUAUAUCAUUUGAAACAAAUCGGUAAGGUUUAAAAGCUGAAUAUUAGAGUUCUGGAUGAAUCAGUGAUAGAAUAAAAAAGUAAUGUAUAUAUCAAAUCUUAACUCUUGAUGUAUUAAUAAAUAUAAUAAAAUCUAUAUUACUUAUUAAAUUA